rnacentral:rRNA from 1 species
AUACGGAGGGUCCAGGCGUUAUCCGGAUUUAUUGGGUUUAAAGGGAGCGUAGGCCGUCUGUUAAGCGUGUUGUGAAAUGUAGAUGCUCAACAUCUGAAUUGCAGCGCGAACUGGCAGACUUGAGUGUGCGCAACGUAGGCGGAAUUCGUGGUGUAGCGGUGAAAUGCUUAGAUAUCACGAAGAACUCCGAUUGCGAAGGCAGCUUACGGGAGCACAACUGACGCUGAGAUGCGAAAGCCAGGGUAGC